GCCAUCGGCCAUACCAUGCUGAAUACACCGAAGCUAAGCAGAAUUGGGCUCGGUCAGUACUUGGGAGGGAGACCACCUGGGAACACCGAGUGCUUUCUUUU
rnacentral:rRNA from 1 species